rnacentral:rRNA from 1 species
CCCUCGCCUUUAGUUGCCAUCAGGUUGGGCUGGGCACUCUAGAGGAACUGCCGGUGACAAGCCGGAGGAAGGUGGGGAUGACGUCAAGUCCUCAUGGCCCUUAUGUCCUGGGCUACACACGUGCUACAAUGGCGGUGACAGUGGGAAGCCAGGCCGCGAGGCCGAGCUGAUCUCUAAAAGCCGUCUCAGUUCGGAUUGCACUCUGCAACUCGGGUGCAUGAAGGUGGAAUCGCUAGUAAUCGCGGAUCAGCAUGCCGCGGUGAAUACGUUCCCGGGCCUUGUACACACCGCCCGU